UACAGAGGCCCCAAGCGUUACUGAGAAUCACUGGGUUUAAAGGGUGCGUAGGUGGUCCGUUAAGUUCGUUGUGAAAUCCCUGGGCUCAACCCAGGAAAUGCUUCGAAUACUGGCGGACUUGAGGCUAGUAGAGGUCACUGGAACUGACGGUGGAGCGGUGAAAUGCGUAGAUAUCACUUGGAACGCCAAUGGUGAAAACAGCUCGCUGGGGGUGUGCUGACGCUGAGACACGAAAGCCAGGGGAGCAAACGGG
rnacentral:rRNA from 1 species